rnacentral:rRNA from 1 species
AUUGAACGCUGGCGGCAGGCCUAACACAUGCAAGUCGAGCGGAUGAAGGGAGCUUGCUCCUGGAUUCAGCGGCGGACGGGUGAGUAAUGCCUAGGAAUCUGCCUGGUAGUGGGGGAUAACGUCCGGAAACGGGCGCUAAUACCGCAUACGUCCUGAGGGAGAAAGUGGGGGUUCUUCGGACCUCACGCUAUCAGAUGAGCCUAGGUCGGAUUAGCUAGUUGGUGGGGUAAAGGCCUACCAAGGCGACGAUCCGUAACUGGUCUGAGAGGAUGAUCAGUCACACUGGAAAUUGGACACGGUCCAGACUCCUAAGGGAGGCAGAAGUGGGGAAUAUUGGACAAUGGGCGAAAGCCUGAUCAAGCCAUGCCGCGUGUGUGAAGAAGGUCUUCGGAUUGUAAAGCACUUUAAGUUGGGAGGAAGGGCAGUAAGUUAAUACCUUGCUGUUUUGACGUUACCAACAGAAUAAGCACCGGCUAACUUCGUG